AUUCAAUUAGUUUAAUAAAAAUAUUAAAUUGUGAUUUUAAAGAUAAAAGUAAAUUUAUUGAAUA
rnacentral:tRNA from 1 species